UACGUAGGGGGCGAGCGUUGUCCGGAGUUACUGGGCGUAAAGCGCUUGUAGGUGGUCCACCAAGUUUGGGGUGACAGUUGCCGACUUAAUCGGCAAAGUGCCUCAAAGACUGGCGGACUUGAGGGCCACAGAGGGACAUGGAACUCCAGGUGUAGUGGUGGAAUGCGUAGAGAUCCGGAAGAACACCGGUGGCGAAGGCGGUUAGCUGGGCAGUUGCUGACACUGAGGCGCGAAAGCUAGGGGAGCAAACAGG
rnacentral:rRNA from 1 species